UAUUAUAGGUCUCCUAAAAAUCCAGAGCAAAAAAUCAUCAAGAGAGUGAUUGCUCUUGAAGGAGAUAUUAUAAGAACCAUGGGACACAAAAACCGAUAUGUCAAAGUCCCCCGUGGUCAUAUCUGGGUUGAAGGUGAUCAUCAUGGACACAGUUUUGACAGUAAUUCUUUUGGGCCGGUUUCCCUGGGACUUCUGCAUGCUCAUGCUACUCAUAUCCUGUGGCCUCCAGAACGCUGGCAGAAACUGGAAUCUGUUCUUCCUCCAGAGCGCAUACUGGUUAAGAGUGAAGAGGAAUGACUGCAUGGUUCCUCCGGACUGCCCACUUUGAGAAGACAAUUAUAGUGGGAGGGGAGCACCCCAAAAGGGGAAAUCUCCCUACAAUAUGAUGUUAUGCAAGAAACAAUGUCCACAUUAAGGUGAUCUAUAUUCUUAAAGUUUUAAAAUAUUAAACAGUAUUAAACAACACCAAAUUCUGUGUUAAAUUUUAGUACUCUAUUGUUUAUUGCCCCCCCCCUAAAAUGCAGAUCUUUUAGAAAUAUGAAAAUAUUGCAUCUAUGUCUUAAAGGAGGUAACCUUGAUUUCUUGUUGUACAUACUUAUUCUGUUGAUUGGGUUUUGAUUUUGUGCCUGCUGCUGAAAGAUUUUGAAAAUUAAUAUUCAAUGACAAUAAUUUAUCAUUUACUGUUAAGAAAGAACAUGAAAAGACAUACAUAUAAUAAUAGGAAUUACAUUGUAAUUGAUAGUGUCUACAGUGCAGUGAUUGCCAGAUAAACUGGCAGUGAACAGUGAUGUUAAAAUAAAACAAUGAUUUGUUCAGA